rnacentral:rRNA from 1 species
AUUGAACGCUGGCGGCAGGCCUAACACAUGCAAGUCGAACGAGUGGCGGACGGGUGAGUAAUGUCUGGGAAACUGCCUGAUGGAGGGGGAUAACUACUGGAAACGUUAGCUAAUACAGCAUAACAUCAGAUGUGCCCAGAUUGGAUUAGCUAGUUGGUGGGGUAACGGCUCACCAAGGCGACGAUCCCUAGCUGGGCUGAGAGGAUGAACAGCCAAGCUGGAACUGAGACACGGUCCAGACUCCUACGGGAGGCAGCAGUGGGGAAUAUUGCACAAUGGGCGCAAGCCGGAUGCAGCCAUGCCGCGUGUAUGAAGAAGGCCUUCGGUUUGUAAAGUACUGUCAGCGGGGAGGCGUUACCCGCAGAAGAAGCACCGGCUAACUCCGUGCCAGCAGCCGCGGUAAUUC